rnacentral:rRNA from 1 species
GGCCCAUCAACUAGCUCAAACCUCAAACUACAACAACCCACUAUCAAUAACCCCCAACAACUUAAUGUACCACUGAAUCAAACCAUUUUGCCCCCUAAGUAUGGGAGACAGAAAAGGACAAAUGAAGCAACAACAAUAGUACCGCAAGGGAAAGCUGAAAGAGAACUGAAACAAACCAGUAAAGCAUAAAGAAGCAGAGAUUAACCCUCGUACCUUUUGCAUCAUGAUUUGGCAAGAAACUAUCAGGCAAGGAGAACCCUAGUCUGACUCCCCGAAACCAACGUGAGCUACUCCGAGACAGCCUUCUGGGCACACCCGUCUCUGUGGCAAAAGAGUGGGAAGAGCUUUGAGUAGAGGUGACAAACCUACCGAACUUGGUUAUAGCUGGUUGUCCAGGAAUUGAACAGGAGUUCAGCCUUUUAUCCUCUUAACCCAAGACCAGGAGACACCCCGAUGUGUCAGAGAGGACAAAAGAGUUAGUCAAAGGGGGUACAGCCCCUUUGAAAAAGAUACAACUUUCCCCAGAAGGGUUAAGACCACAACAUCAACGAAGGGUAAAUGUUUUAGUUGGCCUAAAAGCAGCCACCAAUGCAGAAAGCGUUAAAGCUCGUACAUCUAUGACCCCUAUUAUUCAGGUCACAUAUCUUACCCCACUACACACACUGGACCUUUCCAUACCCCCUAUGGAAGAGAUAAUGCUAAUAUGAGUAAUAAGAGACCAAGAAUCUCUCCCCGCACGAGUGUACAUCGGAACGAACUGACACCGAAACUUAACGGCCCCAACAGAAGAGGGACUUUGAACAAAACACGGAGUAUACAAGAAAAACAUCAAACCUCUCACCGUUAAUCUUACACCAGAGUGCACACAAGGAAAGACUAAAAGAAAGAGAAGGAACUCGGCA